CGCCAGACUCCUACGGGAGGCAGCAGUGGGGAAUAUUGCACAAUGGGGGAAACCCUGAUGCAGCGACGCCGCGUGAGCGAUGAAGUAUUUCGGUAUGUAAAGCUCUAUCAGCAGGGAAGAAAAUGACGGUACCUGACUAAGAAGCCCCGGCUAACUACGUGCCAGCAGCCGCGGUAAUACGUAGGGGGCAAGCGUUAUCCGGAUUUACUGGGUGUAAAGGGAGCGUAGACGGCAAUGCAAGCCAGAUGUGAAAGCCCGGGGCCCAACCCCGGGACUGCUCUUGGAACUGCGUGGCUGGAGUGCAGGAGGGGCAGGCGGAAUUCCUGGUGUAGCGGUGAAAUGCGUAGAUAUCAGGAGGAACACCGGUGGCGAAGGCGGCCUGCUGGACUGCAACUGACGUUGAGGCCCGAAAGCGUGGGGAGCAAACAGGAUUAGAUACCCUGGUA
rnacentral:rRNA from 1 species